AGCAAUUAUACCGUGAAACUGCGAAUGGCUCAUUAAAUCAGUUAUCGUUUAUUUGAUAGUACCUUACUACUUGGAUAACCGUGGUAAUUCUAGAGCUAAUACAUGCUGAAAACCUCAACUUCGGAAGGGGUGUAUUUAUUAGAUAAAAAACCAAUGCCCCUUGGGGCUUCUUGGUGAUUCAUGAUAACUUCUCAGAUCGCAUGGCCUUGCGCCGGCGACGGUUCAUUCAAAUUUCUGCCCUAUCAACUUUCGAUGGUAAGGUAUUGGCUUACCAUGGUUUCAACGGGUAACGGGGAAUUAGGGUUCGAUUCCGGAGAGGGAGCCUGAGAAACGGCUACCACAUCCAAGGAAGGCAGCAGGCGCGCAAAUUACCCAAUCCCGACAUGGGGAGGUAGUGACAAUAAAUACUGAUACAGGGCUCUUUUGGGUCUUGUAAUUGGAAUGAGUACAAUUUAAACCUCUUAACGAGGAACAAUUGGAGGGCAAGUCUGGUGCCAGCAGCCGCGGUAAUUCCAGCUCCAAUAGCGUAUAUUAAAGUUGUUGCAGUUAAAAAGCUCGUAGUUGAACCUUGGGCCUGGCUGGCAGGUCCGCCUCACCGCGUGUACUUGACCGGCCGGGCCUUCUCUUCUGGAGAACCUCAUGCCCUUUACUGGGCGUGUUGGGGACCAGGACUUUUACUUUGAAAAAAUUAGAGUGUUCAAAGCAGGCCUUUGCUCGAAUAUGUUAGCAUGGAAUAAUAGAAUAGGACGUGCGAUCCUAUUUUGUUGGUUUCUAGGACCGCCGUAAUGAUUAAUAGGGACAGUCGGGGGCAUCAGUAUUCAAUUGUCAGAGGUGAAAUUCUUGGAUUUAUUGAAGACUAACUACUGCGAAAGCAUUUGCCAAGGAUGUUUUCAUUAAUCAGUGAACGAAAGUUAGGGGAUCGAAGACGAUCAGAUACCGUCGUAGUCUUAACCAUAAACUAUGCCGACUAGGGAUCGGGCGGUGUUUCAAUAUUGACUCGCUCGGCACCUUACGAGAAAUCAAAGUGUU
rnacentral:rRNA from 1 species